AGUGAACGCUGGCGGUAGGCCUAACACAUGCAAGUCGAACGGCAGCACAGUAAGAGCUUGCUCUUACGGGUGGCGAGUGGCGGACGGGUGAGGAAUACAUCGGAAUCUACUUUUUCGUGGGGGAUAACGUAGGGAAACUUACGCUAAUACCGCAUACGACCUACGGGUGAAAGCAGGGGACCUUCGGACCUUGCGCGAUUGAAUGAGCCGAUGUCGGAUUAGCUAGUUGGCGGGGUAAAGGCCCACCAAGGCGACGAUCCGUAGCUGGUCUGAGAGGAUGAUCAGCCACACUGGAACUGAGACACGGUCCAGACUCCUACGGGAGGCAGCAGUGGGGAAUAUUGGACAAUGGGCGCAAGCCUGAUCCAGCCAUACCGCGUGGGUGAAGAAGGCCUUCGGGUUGUAAAGCCCUUUUGUUGGGAAAGAAAAGCAGCAGGUUAAUACCCCGCUGUUCUGACGGUACCCAAAGAAUAAGCACCGGCUGACUUCGUG
rnacentral:rRNA from 1 species